AGCGAACGCUGGCGGCAGGCUUAACACAUGCAAGUCGAACGCCCCGCAAGGGGAGUGGCAGACGGGUGAGUAACACGUGGGAACGUACCCUUUGGUUCGGAAUAACUUGGGGAAACUCAAGCUAAUACCGGAUAAGCCCUUAUGGGGAAAGGUUUACUGCCGAAGGAUCGACCCGCGUCUGAUUAGCUAGUUGGUGAGGUAAUGGCUCACCAAGGCGACGGUCAGUAGCUGGUCUGAGAGGAUGAUCAGCCACACUGGGACUGAGACACGGCCCAGACUCCUACGGGAGGCAGCAGUGGGGAAUAUUGGACAAUGGGGGCAACCCUGAUCCAGCCAUGCCGCGUGAGUGAUGAAGGCCUUAGGGUUGUAAAGCUCUUUUACCCGGGACGAUAAUGACUGUACCGGGAGAAUAAGCCCCGGCUAACUUCGUGCCAGCCGCCGCGGUAA
rnacentral:rRNA from 1 species